UUGUGUGCGAAGGUAGCAUAAUCAUUAGUCUUUUAAUUGAAGGCUUGUAUGAAUGGUUGGACAAAAAGUUAACUGUCUCAAUUAUAAAAAUUGAAUUUAACUUUUAAGUGAAAAGGCUUAAAUACACUGAGGGGACGAUAAGACCCUAUAAAGCUUUACAAUAAAUUAAUUAAAUUAUAAAUUAUAAGUUUAACUUAAUUUAAUUAGUAUUUGUUUCGUUGGGGCGACGAGAAUAUAAUUAUAUAACUGUUCUUUUAUUGUUAUAACAAAUUUAAUUGGGUGAAAAUUGAUCCUUUUAUAAAGAUUAAAAGAUUAAGUUACUUUAGGGAUAACAGCGUAAUCUUCUUUGAGAGUCCAUAUCGACAAGAAGGGUUGCGACCCCGAU
rnacentral:rRNA from 1 species